rnacentral:rRNA from 1 species
GACGAACGCUGGCGGCGUGCUUAACACAUGCAAGUCGAACGGAAAGGCCCUGCUUUUGUGGGGUGCUCGAGUGGCGAACGGGUGAGUAACACGUGAGUAACCUGCCCUUGACUUUGGGAUAACUUCAGGAAACUGGGGCUAAUACCGGAUAGGAGCUCCUGCUGCAUGGUGGGGGUUGGAAAGUUUCGGCGGUUGGGGAUGGACUCGCGGCUUAUCAGCUUGUUGGUGGGGUAGUGGCUUACCAAGGCUUUGACGGGUAGCCGGCCUGAGAGGGUGACCGGCCACAUUGGGACUGAGAUACGGCCCAGACUCCUACGGGAGGCAGCAGUGGGGAAUAUUGCACAAUGGGCGGAAGCCUGAUGCAGCAACGCCGCGUGCGGGAUGACGGCCUUCGGGGUGUAAACCGCUUUCGCCUGUGACGAAGCGUGAGUGACGGUAAUGGGUAAAGGAGCACCGGCUAACUACGUG